rnacentral:rRNA from 1 species
CUACGGGGGGCAGCAGUGGGGAAUAUUGCACAAUGAGCGAAAGCUUGAUGCAGCCAUACCACGUGUGUGAAGAAGGCCCGAGGGUUGUAAAGCACUUUCAAUUGUGAGGAAGGUUCAGUAGUUAAUACCUGCUGUUCUUGACGUUAACUUUAGAAGAAGCACCGGCUAACUCUGUGCCAGCAGCCGCGGUAAUACAGAGGGUGCAAGCGUUAUUCGGAAUUACUGGGCGUAAAGCGCGCGGAGGCGGAUUGUUAAGUCAGUUGUGAAAGCCCUGGGCUCAACCUGGGAACUGCAUCUGAGACUGGCAAUCUAGAGUUUAAGAGAGGGAAGUGGAAUUCCAGGUGUAGCAGUGAAAUGCGUAGAUAUCUGGAGGAACAUCAGUGGCGAAGGCGACUUCCUGGCUUAAAACUGACGCUGAGGUGCGAAAGCGUGGGUAGCGAACGGGAUUAGAUACCCUGGUAGUC